UCUCACAGCCGAUCGGUUGUGUUCUCUCGUUGAGUGUUCCGAGAAAACUGUGAGGUCAGCAAGCCGCAAGUUAUUGACCGGCGAAAGUACUUGGGAAAAUUGCCUACCUCAAAAUUUGGAUGCCCAACCAGCAUGUUACAUCAUCUUGUUGCUGUGGCUCUAGGACUGUGUGAAGCAGAUGCAUCAUUCCUCAGGUUCUACUAGGAGAGUCCAACUGGUGCUAUGGCUUAUAACACCAAAAGCCUUGAUCCUGGGACUAGAGAACAUAAAUUGAACUCUACUCCGGUCCUACAGCAUGCCUACAAGGUAUUCAGGCAGGCCCCAUGAGGAAGGGAACCAGGGGCCAACACAAAUGCAGUCAAGUGGGAGCAGGGAAGACCAUCCCUUGAACAUCAGCUUUCCCACCAGAGUGUGGCUACAGGGUCUCCAAACUAGCCUUGUCUUUGGCAUAACUGAUUCGCCUUGAAUAAGGAUGUAAACCUCUCUGAAGUUCGUGGGCUCUCUCACAUCUUUUGACUGCUCCUCAGCUGCAAUGAUCUUUCACUGCAGAAGAUAAAAUCCUCUUGGUAAGCAACCAAACCCCCCACCCCAACCCUGACACUUAGCCUUUAACUGUUAGUUACCCAGUGUGUCUUUACUCUCCAGGGAUCAAUAUAAUUUAAGUGAUAACCAGUAAACACUGCUGUCCUUAUAGGCUUGCUGCCUCCAUAUGUUUCAAAUGCCUAAUUCAUUGCACAUGAAAAACUGCCCCUCAAAAUAUCCUUCUCCUAGGUUAGCAUGGUAAGGUACUCCACAUUUGAGCCAGUACCUGUUUAUUACCUUUUGCCAACAUUACAACUUGCUAUUUCCUCAAAUGACUCUCAGCAUUGCCUAUCAGUUCUGAACUUUUGAGAAGCAGAUAGAUAUGAAAGAAUCACCUUUGCGGGGCUGGCACUGUGGCGUAUGGGUAAAGCUGCUGCCUGUGUUUCUGGCAUCCCGUAUGGGUGCUGGUUCUAGUCCUGGCUGCUCUAUUUCUGAUCCAGCUCUCUGCCAUGGCUUGGGAAAGCAUUAGAUCAUGGCCCAAGUCCUUGGGCCCCUGCACUCAUGUGGGUGACCCGGAAGAAGCUCCUGACUCCUGGCUUCAGGUCUUGCCAUUGCAGCUAUCCUGGGAGUGAAUCAAUGGUUGGAAGACCUCUCUCUCUCUCUCUGCCUCUCUUUCUCUCUCUCUGUAACUCCGUCUUUCAUAUAAAUAAAUAAACCUUUAAAAAAGAAAGAAAUACCUUUGAAUAAUAAUUAUGGCAGAGGAAGCAGAGAUCCCUCAGAUACCAAUGCAGAUGUGAUGUGAUUCCUGUGAAAAGCGGGAGAGUAUAAUGGCUUGGAAUGAAAGAGCCUCAGACCACAGAGUAGGUCACCAGAAUCCCAGAAACCAAAGUUUCUCAUAACAGAAAUAUAAUGUCAGGUAGCAAUGGCCCUGUUCUAGUACAUGCAUCAUAUUCAAAGAACUUCACAGUGGGUGUAGGAAUCAGUGGCUUCAGUUGUGGUUUCAAAGUAAGUAGAUUCAAAGCUAGGUUGUUGAUCAUCUAAGUCCCAGCAGAGGCUUUCCAUGAAACGUGUUCUGAGGAGGGCACCUCCAUAACCCCAGAGCAUAAUUUGCAACAACCAAUAUAAUUUUUCAGGGCCUAAAACUCAUAUAAUAAUAAUAAUCCUAUAAUAAUAAUUUUAAUCCUUGUGGCUGGAUUAUCUGUACAACUCUUAGUUAUAUAUUUCUCCUGAUGUACUGUUUGUGAAGGAGUUGCUUUCCAGGACUUCCAUCAGCAUUGGAGGCUGUAAUGACUCUUGGUCCAUAUGUGAAGGAAAAAGGGUGAGCAUUCUGUUAGCUGCUAGUGUAUUCAUUCAUUUCCCACUGAAUUCCAGGGGAAACAGAAACUAGAUAUGACAAUUAAUAGAUAGAAGUGAUAGGCUAUGAGAACGAUAUAACCUAGCCAUCUGUCACCUAUCCUCCAUAUGCUCCCAGACUAACAAGAGACAAUAAUGAUAUUUGUGUUCUUUGUUAUCAGUUUCAGACUAUAUAUCUUAAAGCACUUAUAACGCUUGAAUAUUAAUUUUUUCCAAUUCAGAAUAUUGUUUGAGGAAGGAGGAAAGUAAAAGUUUCUAAAUAUACUUGCUGUUGGCUAAGUAUUACUAGGGACUCUGCCUUCCAUUCAGUUAAUGGGAUCUGGGUUCAAGACCUGUCUUGGAUCUUGAAAUUGGGAGAGGGAGGAGAAAAAAGUUCUGGAGCGUGGAUGGUAGGGAGAGUAGGAUGGGAAGUAUCACUGUGUUCCUAAAACUGUAUAUAUGAAAUACUUCAAAUUUCAUCCUUCUGGCUCGGGAUUUCUUCAGGGGAGCGUGAUGUUCCAGUCUGAGAUGAUUUAAGCCUCCCUCUUCCUUGAAUCAAUGUCAGAGGCCCAAAUCCAUGGGCGCUUUCUUGCUCAGUUUCCCUGUGUCCAGGCAUCUUCCUCUGUACCUCAUGUUUACUAGUCCCUGAGUCAGUGUGUAAACCGUUUGACCUUCACAGAGUCUGAGAACCCCAGGGGAAAUUCAUACACAAGGUCUCCUUUGGCCCAUGUCCCUGAGUUGAGAAAUGCAGUACAAGCUCAGGGAUGCUAUCAGCAGGAUUCUGCAGGUUGCUCAGUUCUUCAGGGCUAAUUUAGAGACGUGGUCUUCUUUGUUCUGUGUCCCCAAGCUAGGAAAUGCAGCACAUCUUUUGUUGUGCUCAUGGCAGGAUUCCGCAGGUCUCUCACCUCUGUAAGCAUAGUGGACAGCACACCUGACCUGUGACCCUACUGCCCCGGAGCCUGGGUUCACUGCCUGCCUGGCAGCAAGAGCUGCCAGGUAGCCUGAAGCCCUGGAGAUUUUUUCAAUAUGGAGACAGCCAUUAGAUGUUAAAUAAAUGCCAUGUUCUACAGAGUUCUAUAUAGUGAUCCUGCCAAACGAAAACUAGUAACUAAUCCUUUCAUAAUCAAUAUAAACUUGUGCUAACAUGUUGAUAUUUACCUAUCAAUAACUAUUGACAGACUAUAUUGUAUAAAAUGUAUCAAUAAUGAACUGUGGAUUAAAUUUAAAAAAAAAUCAAUCCUAAAGGAAUUCUUAACAAACCGUCAAUUUGAAUGAAUUUCUAGGAUAGUCUAAAUGACUCCUUAGGGUUAGUCAUGUAAUCACUGGUUUCAUGAUGUGGGAGUGAAGCAAUAGAGAACAGAGAAAGGGAGAUACUUCCUGGAAUGAUAGGAACUCUCCAGCAACUAUUUUGGUUGGGAUGGUGGUUUAAAUUAAGACUCAGCAUCCUGUAUCCUUAGACUAUGUUUAUUUCACCAUACACUAAAAAUGGGGCAUGUCAAAAAGUUUGUGGUAAAUGGAACUAAUCCAUAACUAUUUGGUUUCUGAUCAGGAAACUAACCACAUUGGCCCCUUGUGCCUCCAGUUUUGGUCCAACAGCAAAGUGUCACUCUCAAUACUUUUGGGUGAGAGUCCUCCUGAUAGUGAGAUUCUCACCUGCCCUGACCACUACCCAUCUGAACUCACAGAGACUUGGAAUGUUCUAAAGGAAACAUCGGCAUGCCUCUACGGGCAGAAGGGUGACUUGAGCACUCCCGAAGAAAUCUUUUUAUUUAAAAUUUAUUCCCCCCCCCAAAGAAACCAUUUAUUUAAGGACUACAGACUUCAUGUAAAUAGUAUUAGCAAGAAAAAAAAAAAAAAACCUGUUCCUUGGCCGGUGCCGGGGCUCACUAUGCUAAUCCUCCGCUUUGCAGCGCCAGCACACCAGGUUCUAAUCCCGGUCGGGGCGCCAGAUUCUGUCCCGGUUGCCCCUCUUCCAGGCCAGUUCUCUGCUGUGGCCAGGGAGUGCAGUGGAGGAUGGCCCAAGUGCUUGGGCCCUGCACCCCAUGGGAGACCAGGAAAAGCACCUGGCUCCUGGCUCCUGCCAUCAGAUCAGUGCGGUGUGCCAGCCGCAGCACGCAGGCCGUGGCGGCCAUUGGAGGGUGAACCAAUGGCAAAGGAAGACCUUUCUCUCUCUCUCUCGCACUGUCCACUCUGCCUGUCAAAAAAACAAAAACAAAAACAAAAACAAAACAAAACAAAACAAAAAAACCUGUUCCUUGAGAGUCGAGAAAAGGGCUGUUCAAGUCAUUGCUUCUCAAAGUGUCAAUUUCAUUUCUGCAGAUUUCCUUUUAGAAGCUCUGUUAGUUAUCCUAGAUCAGGGGGAACAUAUGGUAUUUGUCAUUUGGGACUGGAUAUUAAACUAAGAACGAUGUUUUCCAGAUCCACCCAUUUUGUUGCAAAUGACCGAAUUUAAUUUUUAUUUUACCACUGUGUAGGGUUCCAUAGUGAACAUACCCAUAAUUUCUUCAUCCAGUCUUCAGUUGAUGGGCAUUUAGGUUUGAUUCCAUGUCUUAGCUAUUAUGAAUUGAGCUGCAAUAAACAUGGGAGUGCAGAUAACUUUUGUUUACCGAUUUCUUCCCCCUUGGGUAAAUUCCCAGUAGUAGGAUGGCUGGGUCAUAUGGUAGGUCUAUAUAUUCAGAUUUCUGAGGUAUCACCAAACUGUCUUCCCUAGUGGUAUACCAGCAUACAUUCCCACCAACAGUGGAUUAGGGUACCUUUUCCCCAAAUCCACGCUGGCAUUUGUUGUUUGUUUAUUUCUGUAUGAAAGCCAUUCUAACUGUGGUGAGGUGAAACCUCAUUGUGGUUUUGAUUUGCAUUUCCUGACAGCUAAUGAAUCUGAGCAUUUUUUCAUGUGUCUGUUGGCCAUUUGAAUUUCCUCUUUUGAAAAAUGUCUAUGUCCUUUGCCAAUCUCUUAACUGGGUUUUUUCUUGUUGUUGUUGUUGUGGAGUUACUAGAUAUCUUUAUGUAUUCUGGUUAUUAAUCCUUUAUCAGUUGCAUAGUUUGCAAAAAAUUUCACCCAUUCUGUUGGUCGCCUCUUCACUUUCCUGAGUGUUCUUUUUUGGAGUACAAAAAUUUCUCAUUUGAUGUAAUCCCAGUUACUAAUUUUGGCUUUUAUUGCCUGUUCAUCUGGGGUCUUUUCAAAGAAAUCUUUGCCUGUGCCAAUAUCUUGCAGGUUUUCCAAAUGUUAUCUAAUAGUUUGAUAGUCUGAGGUCAUAGGUUUAGGUAUUAAUCCAUUUUGAAUGGAUUUUUGUAUAAGGUGUAAG